rnacentral:rRNA from 1 species
AAUAGAUACCCUGGUAGUCCACGCCCUAAACGAUGUCAACUAGCUGUUGGGGCCUUCGGGCCUUGGUAGCGCAGCUAACGCGUGAAGUUGACCGCCUGGGGAGUACGGUCGCAAGAUUAAAACUCAAAGGAAUUGACGGGGACCCGCACAAGCGGUGGAUGAUGUGGAUUAAUUCGAUGCAACGCGAAAAACCUUACCUACCCUUGACAUGUCUGGAAUGCCGAAGAGAUUUGGUAGUGCUCGCAAGAGAACCGGAACACAGGUGCUGCAUGGCUGUCGUCAGCUCGUGUCGUGAGAUGUUGGGUUAAGUCCCGCAACGAGCGCAACCCUUGUCAUUAGUUGCUACGAAAGGGCACUCUAAUGAGACUGCCGGUGACAAACCGGAGGAAGGUGGGGAUGACGUCAAGUCCUCAUGGCCCUUAUGGGUAGGGCUUCACACGUCAUGCAAUGGUCGGGACAGAGGGUCGCCAACCCGCGAGGGGGAGCCAAUCCCAGAAACCCGAUCGUAGUCCGGAUCGCAGUCUGCAACUCGA